rnacentral:rRNA from 1 species
GAUGAACGCUAGCGGCAGGCUUAACACAUGCAAGUCGAGGGGUAUAGUUCUUCGGAGCUAGAGACCGGCGCACGGGUGCGUAACGCGUAUGCAAUCUACCUUUUGCAGAGGGAUAGCCCAGAGAAAUUUGGAUUAAUACCUCAUGGUAUGUGAGAAUGGCAUCAUUUUCACAUUAAAGUCACAACGGCAAAAGAUGAGCAUGCGUCCCAUUAGGUAGUUGGUAAGGUAACGGCUUACCAAGGCAACGAUGGGUAGGGGUCCUGAGAGGGAGAUCCCCCACACUGGUACUGAGACACGGACCAGACUCCUACGGGAGGCAGCAGUGAGGAAUAUUGGACAAUGGGCGCAAGCCUGAUCCAGCCAUGCCGCGUGCAGGAUGACGGUCCUAUGGAUUGUAAACUGCUUUUGUACAGGAAGAAACACUGGUUCGUGAACCAGCUUGACGGUACUGUAAGAAUAAGGAUCGGCUAACUCCGUGCCAGCAGCAGCCGCGGUAA